GCCAUGCUUAGGGCUUCUUGGUUAGCCAUGCUAGAUUGAUCGGACUCGCCCUAAACUGUGGGGGUAAGACUAGUGGCUUUAUGGUGGUAUAUGAGCUAGAGUUGGGUUCCGAUUAUUUUGCAACUGCUAGGGUGCCAUAGACCUUUAUGUUCUUUAGACUACUUUGAUCAGAGCUUGCAUCUGCUGGAUGAGUAGAUUAAAAUGCUCGAGGGUGACCACUAUUAGAGGCUGAGGUAAUUGAGAUGGUGGUACUCUAAUUGGGCUCAAUAAAGAGCCAUUGGAGCGAUUUGAAGUGUGUGAUGCCCCCCACAUGAUCUCAUUAUGAUUCUAAAUUUCUCUCUUCUAAAACAGGUCAAAUGCCCUCUUUUUAGCAUCAAUAUAUUGCUACUGAAUUUUGAGAUCGGACAUAGGUCAAUAUGGCCCGAAGUUAGGUAAGAUCAAUGAUGUUGACGAGGCUCCUGAUUUCAAACACUGAAUUUAGAAAGAAGUCCUCUUGUCGGAGUUUUUCA
rnacentral:lncRNA from 1 species